AUACAUGAGCAAAAUCUCAACUUUAUAAGAAAAGACGCAUUUAUUAGAUAAAAAGCCAGUUCAUGCUUUUACAGUAUGAAAAUUGGUGAUUUAUAAUAACUUAGCAAAUCGCAAAGUGAAAACAGGCGAUAAAUCAUUCAAGUUUCUGACCUAUCAGCUUUCGACGGUAUGGUAUUGGCUUACCGUGGCAGUGACGGUUAACGGGGGAUUAGGGUUCAAUUCCGGAGAGGGAGCCUGAGAAACGGCUACCACAUCUAAGGAAGGCAGCAGGCGCGCAAAUUACCCAAUUCUAACAGUUUGAGAGAGGUAGUAACGAGAAAUAACAAUACAAGGCAGUCAAAAUGCUUUGUAAUUGGAAUGAUAGAAAUUUAAACCCUUUUUAAAGUAUCAAUUGGAGGGCAAGUCUGGUGCCAGCAGCCGCGGUAAUUCCAGCUCCAAUAGCGUAUAUUAAAAUUGUUGCAGUUAAAAAGCUCGUAGUUGAAGUUCUGCUGAAAGUAACCGGUCUGCUUUUAAUAAAAGUGGUAUCUUGGUAUGUAUUUAGCAAUGAUGUUCUUUGAAGUGUUUUUUACUUUAUUGUAAUAAAGCAUAUUCAGGACUUUUACUUUGAGAAAAUUAGAGUGUUUCUAGCAGGCUAACGCUUUGAAUACUGCAGCAUGGAAUAAUAAGAAGGGC
rnacentral:rRNA from 1 species